rnacentral:rRNA from 1 species
GACGAACGUUGGCGGCGUGCUUAACACAUGCAAGUCGAACGGAAAGGCCCUGCUUUUGUGGGGUGCUCGAGUGGCGAACGGGUGAGUAACACGUGAGUAACCUGCCCUUGACUUUGGGAUAACUUCAGGAAACUGGGGCUAAUACCGGAUAGGAGCUCCUGCUGCAUGGUGGGGGUUGGAAAGUUUCGGCGGUUGGGGAUGGACUCGCGGCUUAUCAGCUUGUUGGUGGGGUAGUGGCUUACCAAGGCUUUGACGGGUAGCCGGCCUGAGAGGGUGACCGGCCACAUUGGGACUGAGAUACGGCCCAGACUCCUACGGGAGGCAGCAGUGGGGAAUAUUGCACAAUGGGCGGAAGCCUGAUGCAGCAACGCCGCGUGCGGGAUGACGGCCUUCGGGUUGUAAACCGCUUUCGCCUGUGACGAAGUGUGAGUGACGGUAAUGGGUAAAGAAGCACCGGCUAACUACGUG